GUGAAUCCUGAGCAUGGUAGUGUACUUUUCCAGGAUUCAUUUUCUCUUGGGGUCGUGUGGAGAAUAAUGUCAGCAAAGAGUUGAACAGGGAGUUUGUUUCCAGUCCUGUUAUUUAUAACAUAUUAUUCUCUAGCUUUUGGGAGGUGGCAGUACAUUCUGAACUGGUAUGGUUUAAUGUAUUUUAAGGGUUAGAUGGACCAAAGACUGUCCAAUUGGUGUUGCCUUUGCCAUACCUCUCUCAGAGCUUUAUAUCUUAACAACUUCUUUCGUUCUUUCUUUUUUUGUUUUAUUCAAUUUAUAAUUUUAUAUUCAUGUCCCAUCAAAUUUUACUUGAGGCUUGCUUUCUUGUUUUCUCAGGGUGGUUACUUUCUUCUGUUGAAGAUGUGAAAUAAUCUUAAACAAGGGGUUAUCUUUGAUCUUGAUCAAUAAUAUAAUUUAAAACUUUUAUACUUAAUGGGUAUUGAUAAAUUUCCCAAGCAUGGUGAUAUUUUCUAGGAUGCAAUUUUCUUUUUUUCUGGAGACGUAUCAGGAAUGGUUCGUUUCUGCGAGAUAUGGCAUCAGGGAGUUCUUUUCAAUUCAUGUUGCAAAACUCUCGAAUCACUAGAAGUUAAAACGUGUAGAGCUCUGAGCUGGUUUUAUGUGUUUCUAGGGGUUCAGCAGCGCAAAAAUUGAUUUCAAGUUUUAUUUGCCUUUAUGCUAUACCUUUCUCAUGAUCAGGGAGUUCUUUUCAAUUCAUAUUCCAAAAAUUUAUGAUUCACUAGUAUUUGGAAGUACAGAGUUAGAACCUGAGCUGGUUUGCUGUAUUUACAGGGGCUUGUUUCCGUCUUUUGUUAAAGAUGUGUGCUGAGCUUGAACAAGAGGGGUUUGUUUGAUCAGGGAGGUUAAGUUGUGUUAAGUUACUAUUCUUUAUCUUUUGGGAAGUGAUAAUACAUUAUGAGCUUGUUAGUUUGAUGUGUUUCCAGGCGUCGAAUGGACCAAUGGUUGUUUAAUGGGAGUUGCUUUUGCUUUAUGCCCCUCAGAUUUGUGCUGAUCCUUUCUUUUUUCUGUUUUUUGUGAUUUUCUACUAGUUUUAGUUUGCAAUUUUACAACCUGCCCUGUUUCUUCAGGGUGGUAACUUUCGUCGUCUGUUGAAGGUGUCAGCAAAGUGUGACCAGGGAGGUCUAUACUUCUUUUCAAGUCAUGUUGCAAGAAGUUUAUGAUUCACUAACAUUUAACACGUAAAACUAGAGCCUGAGCUGGUUUGAUGUAUUUCCAGGGGUUCUGCGAGGAGAAGAUUGAGUUCUGGGGUUAUUUGCCUUGUCAUAAAUUUUUCAAUAUUUUAUUGAUCUGUUACUAUGUCCAUCUCUCUCUUUUUUCCUUCUCACCUUGGUGUGGCUAUAAUUUCAAUCGAUAUGUGGAUUCUAUUAUUGUCGUCCCAAGCUUUUUGUUUUUGCAGUGAUCAACACUCCCUCAAUCUUGCAGAACUCAAUUGUUGGCUAGAAAUUGGACAGCAUUUGAGUUACUGGCUUAUGCACUUGGAUUUUCCAAUGUUGUGUAAUGGUCGAAUCAGCAUGAGGAAAGACAAUUACAUUUUGGAGAGUCAGAUUGUUAGAGACGACUGUUAACUUGUUUCUUUCAAAAGGAGCUGUGCUGAUUUUGCUGAUAUGGUGUCAAAAUAGAAUGGUGUCUGUUUUUCUUCUUUUGUUGUCUGGUUGGUUCCGUUAAAAUUUGGUCAGUGUUUUACUUAGGUAUAGAAAAUUCACUUUGGUGGCUUGUUGAUCAAUAUGAGCUUGGAAGGUUUCCUUCUAGGAAUAUUGUUUUGUUUCCUUAAAAGAAUGAUGUAUGGCAAGCAAACGUAAUCCAUUGGUGUGAUGAGGCUGAGUCGAGUUAUCUUCUUUUGUUUUAAUGCUGUGGAUCAAAAUCGAGUUCAUGAUUGGUGUUGAUUUCUUCCAUUGAUCUGUUAAUGAGGUUGGCAAUCUGAGGUUUGUCUAGGGCUUUAUCGGGCUUGGGUGCGUGGAAGUGGCUUUUUUUUUUCCUGCUUAAAUUCCUUGUUUUGGAUAUUAUGUUAUCUAAUAUGGAUUUAUUAUCAGUACAAAUCAUUAUUUUUAUUGAAA